rnacentral:rRNA from 1 species
GACGAACGCUGGCGGCAUGCCUAAUACAUGCAAGUCGAGCGAACAGAUGAAGUGCUUGCACUUCUGACGUUAGCGGCGAACGGGUGAGUAACACGUAAGGAAUCUACCUAUAAGCGGGGGAUAACAUUCGGAAACGGGUGCUAAUACCGCAUAAUAUCUUCUUCCGCAUGGAAGAAGAUUGAAAGACGGCUCUGCUGUCACUUAUAGAUGACCUUGCGGUGCAUUAGUUAGUUGGUGGGGUAAUGGCCUACCAAGACGAUGAUGCAUAGCCGACCUGGGAGGGUGAUCGGCCACAUUGGGACUGAGACACGGCUCAAACUCCUACGGGAGGCAGCAGUAGGGAAUCUUCCGCAAUGGGCGAAAGCCUGACGGAGCAAUGCCGCGUGAGUGAAGAAGGCCUUCGGGUCGUAAAACUCUGUUAUAAGAGAAGAACAAAUUGUAGAGUAACUGCUACAGUCUCGACGGUAUCUUAUCAGAAAGCCACGGCUAACUACGUGCCAGCAGCCGCGGUAA